GUUACACCAUGAAUGCUUUGUAUUAUGGGAUGUAUUACGGGAUGCAUGGGUACACAACAAGAAGAGACUAAAUACAAACUGCACUGUUUUUUGAAGUUUCAGACAUUUUACCAGUAAACGUUUGCAACUAUUUAACAGCCAGAUUUACACCAUGUUUACAUGUUUAGAUUGCAACCAGCAUCUCUUCAGUAUGAUCAGUUUUUGACUUUCAUUAGAAAUGCAAAUCUUCCCCUUAGUAACAACUAUUUUUUUACAGCACUUUGUUUGUGCCAAAUGUGAGAAACCUUUCCUCGGUCACCGCCAUUAUGAGAGAAAAGGUUUGGCUUACUGUGAGACGCAUUACAAUCAGCUCUUUGGGGACGUGUGUUAUCACUGCAACCGUGUGAUUGAAGGCGAUGUUGUGUCUGCUCUCAACAAAGCCUGGUGUGUCACUUGUUUCUCCUGCUCCACCUGCAACACCAAGCUCACUCUCAAGUAAGUCUUAAUAUGUUCAUUGAUGCAAACCAUAAAAUCUAGUCACAUGCAACUCUUCCACCUCAUGUUUGUUGUGCUCUUACUUUUCUUUAGCACUUUUCACGUGCCUUAAAACAAGAAGAGUUUUAAUGGGAAUGGCUUCUAUAUUACAACUUGCAUCUUCACUCAGAAUAGUGUCCGUGUUUGUAAUUAACUGCUGAAUAUCAAAUCCUUUGAGCUUUAAUGCCUCUGUAUUAUUCAAUUGACUAAUUGUAAUUUUUAGAAAAAUCUUCAAGUCUUCAAAGUAUUGCAUAAAAUUGGUAUCAUUAAUGAAUAUAACAAAUCAAAUUGUGAAAUUAACAGUGGUGUAAAAUUCAUGGGUUUUGUGUUAUAUUUCAAAAUCUAAUAAUGUAUGCUGUCUGAAUGUGGUUAUGUAUUGUAAAUUCCUAGAAUUGUUGAAUAUUUCUGUAUUAAUUAACAUAACAUUCAAAGGUGGACGACUAAAAGGAAAGCAAAUAGAACUGUUUUUUAGCUAGUAUUUUAACUUGUUUGAUGAAAAUGUCACUAACAAACCCUCAAGUUGCUUUGAUUAUUUUUAAACUUGAGUGUGUUUUGAAAUGACAGCCACACAAGAUAAGGUUUCUGUGAUAAUUUUACUAUUGGAACACUUUACUUACAUUUCAUUUGACUGGGCAUUUAAUUAGGAUGGAAUGAAAACAUACAGUUUACUACAUCUUAUGGACAGUGUUGAGCUGCUUCAUUAAAGAUCAACAUCUUAAGUUUAAAGGAAUUAAUAAUCAUGAGCUUAUGAUCAAUCUUUUUUCGCCACAACAUGACUUCAGUGCUCUGUGGUGUUAAGUUUCUUAGAGGUCAUAAUGUGACAGUUUUACUUAUGACUGUACUCUUAUGAAUUAAUGUUUGAAAAUUUUGAGCUAUAAAUCUCCUGUGUGGUAAACACUAGAAACUCUUUAGUGAUCUAGUAAAGUUUAGUAGAUAAUCAGUUUCCAUCGUUGCAAACUAAAACUGAAUUUUUUUGUGUUUUUUUUUUUUUAAUUAAAUGGUUAUGAAUUAUAAUUACAUUAAAAGCUCCAUGCAUAUGCUAAACACUUUAAGUAGAAGUCAAAUCACUGACUAACAUGCUUGAGCUGUAGUUCAGCUGUGAAUUAAUAUAUUAUACAGAGGGUGAAAAAUGUUGCACUCUGGGACUUGAGUCCAUAUCCUGGAAGCCAGAACCAACAGUUGAGGUGUAAUGAAAACAUAUUUCAACACUUGAUCAAGACAUCUGCUUAUCAAAGCCAUACAAACAUGGAAAAGGGAUAAAAAAAAAAGAUUUGGAGCACUCAGUGUACCUUAGCACAUUCAAUAUACAGUAUUUAACUAUGUUACUAAAGAUAACUGUUAACAGAGGCUG